UUUCGGCUGUCCAAAAGUCGAAAUUACUGAAGAGGCACACCUUCAUUGCCAGAAGUGCGGAUGCGGUUCUCCAAUUCCAAGCCAAGGCAGACAAAGCGGAGUAACGCUUAGUUUAGCGUUGUUCCAUCGCCGCAUAAAGUUUUCGCGUGAC
rnacentral:ncRNA from 1 species